GAUGAAGAACGUAGCGAAAUGCGAUAAGUAAUGUGAAUUGCAGAAUUCAGUGAAUCAUCGAAUCUUUGAACGCACAUUGCGCCCGCCAGUAUUCUGGCGGGCAUGCCUAUCUGAGCGUCAUUUCAACCCUCAUGCCCCUAGGGCGUGGUGUUGGGGAUCGGCCAAAGCCCGCGAGGGACGGCCGGCCCCUAAAUCUAGUGGCGGACCCGUCGUGGCCUCCUCUGCGAAGUAGUGAUAUUCCGCAUCGGAGAGCGAUGAGCCCCUGCCGUUAAACCCCCAACUUUCCAAGGUUGACCUCAGAUCAGGUAGGAAUACCCGCUGAACUUAAGCAUAUCAAUAAGCGGAGGA
rnacentral:misc_RNA from 1 species